UCGGGCGCUUGUCUCUACUUUCUCUCUAACCAAAAACCAAAACAAUCUCUACCUAGCUCUCUAGUCAUUCCAAAAUCUUCCAAUAGUCCUGGAUUUGUCAAACCCAAAAACAGAAACCCAGCCGUGCCUCCAUAGCUGUAUCUCUGUCCAAACCUCAGAAAAAUGGUCCAUCACACCUGCAAACGAAGUUGCAGGCCCAAACACACAGCAAGACCAUACGAACACCAGAAAAUUCAAGGAACAUGGAAAAAGACCAGAGACAAGAUAGUACUGAUCUCACAGAUCCAUACCUAAACCCUCCAUUCUCAGAGCAAAACAUUGAUCCUAUUCCCAGAUCCACAAAAAAGCGAAGGCCUGAACUUCUGCUCGCCUCUGUGCUGCUUGGAUCCCUCCCCCAAAUUUGUAUGUAAUGAAAUGUAAUAAAAGGUGAGAGAGUGAGUAAAAGGGCUUUCAGGCAUACAUAGGUCUUCUCAGCGCCCCCACUGUAAGCACUUCUGAACCUCAACUUUGUUUCCGUUUCUGCGUUCCUUUCAUUUCUGCACUGCUGAAUCUCAUGAAGUUGAUGAAUUGAUGAUGAAAGCUCAGAUAAGUGUUGAUGAAUGGAUGGCUAAUGAAUGUAUUUUGAAGUGAA